AGAGUUUGAUCAUGGCUCAGGAUGAACGUUGGCUGUGUGCCUAAGGUAUGCAAGUCGAACGAUCCUAUUCUGAUUUUCAAAGACUUCGGUCAAUGAUUUUCUAUUUAGGAUAGUGGCAAACGGGUGAGUAAUACGUAGAUAACUUGCCUUGAAGUCGGAAAUAGCUCGUCGAAAGACGGGGUAAUAUCCGAUAGUCUCUAUUCACUUUAAGUGUUUUAGAGUAAAGUUUUUCGCUUCAAGAGAGGUCUGCGUCCUAUCAGCUAGUUGGUGAGGUAAUGGCUCACCAAGGCUAAGACGGGUAGCUGGUGUGAGAGCACGGUCAGCCACCGCGGAACUGAGACACGGUCCGCACUCCUACGGGAGGCAGCAAUUAGGAAUAUUGUGCAAUGGAGGCAACUCUGACGCAGCCAUGCCGCGUGCAGGAAGAAGGCGCUAAGCGUUGUAAACUGC
rnacentral:rRNA from 1 species